AGAUGCAACCCCCUCAGACCCUCCUUCAACACGGCUCUCUGAAGAUCUAACCCCCUCAGACCCUCCUUCAACACGGCUCUCUGAAGAUCUAACCCCCUCAGACCCUCCUUCAACACGGCUCUCUGAAGAUGGAGGAGAACAAUCCCAGCAGCCUUCCACGAUGGACGGCACCUCUCCUCGAGCCAGCUCCCCUUCACACUCCAGCUCCUGGCUCCCUGGCACUUCACCUGCAGGAACAGGCACUCCAGUCCCUGAGGGUCUCCACCUGAUCUCUGACAGUAUGGUCUGGCCGGAGGCUUGGCGGUACUGCAAGGAUCACUACACUGACCUAGUGAACCUCACAAGCCUGGCUGCACAGAACAGAGUGUCGGAGCUCGUCACGAACAGCACUGCAUCGCAAUUCUGGAUCGGCCUGCACAGAAGCAUUGUGUAUGAUAACUGGUACUGGGUGGCUGGUGAGGAUAACAAGGGGCCUGUAAACUACACUAACUGGGCCCCUGGGGAGCCCAACAAUCCUUACUAUGAGCACUGUGGGGAGAUGGUGCUGAGGGAGGAUGGGGGGGCUGAGUGGAAUGAUCUGUGCUGUUAUGAAAAGCUCCCCUUUAUCUGUUUCAAAGAUUAACAACACCCCUAAAAGGGUGUACAGCAGUGGUUCUAAAUCUGUAGUUGGGACCCCUUUUAAGGUCACUUUAGUCUGAAAAAAACCUAUUUACUAAUAAAUUAUAGAAAUAUCUAAAUCUGAAUGAUAUUGGAAAAAAACCUAUUUACUAAUAAAUUAUAGAAAUAUCUAAAUCUGAAUGAUAUUGUGUAAGCAAUGUGUGAGUAAUAAAGGAAAUCGAAGUCUUGUAUGUGACAGAGUUUGCAAUGCCAUGUCUGCUCUCUAUAAAAAGCUGCUGCAAUGCACUGCAGCCAUUGCGGAUGGUAGGUCUGCUUGUGAUGUGGUCGCUUGAAACCUUCCUGUGAACCCCCAGGGUUCCCAACCCCCAGUCUGAGAACCACUGUCUCCACAGAACCCAGAGCUUUACUAUAGGAGUAAUACAUCAAAAUACUAUAGAAGAUAAUGCUAUGUAGCAAUCUUUAAUGAUAUACAUUAUUCUGAUAUUUCAUUGUGCUUGUUUAAUAUCCUAUUGUGUGUGUUCUGUGUGAUUCUCUGUUGUUUCAACUAAGAGCAUUAUCUGCAGUGCUUACUAACUAUUCCAGUAAAAUGCCUCCUGAAAAGACUCCUCAAGGCUGAUUGUAAUGAAGUGAGGUGGGGAAGCAUAAUAGUGUUGCACAGUCUUCAGUGCUUCUCCUAAAUGCCUCAGUACACAGUGCAACGCUAACAUGCUUCCCCACCUCACUUCCUCACAGUCAGCCUUGAGGAGUCUUUUCAGAAGCUGCUUCACUUGUUUUUUUAGUUCAGGAUCCUCAGCUGUUUAAAAUGCAGCGUGUAGAUAAACUGCUGCAUCCUGGUACCUUUGCUGUAGGUCACUUGGUCUGAUUGAGGACGCAGCAGCAGCUUGGUUUAAAUCAUUAGUAUCUAUAACGUUGACUAUGAAAUAUCUACUUUCCAAAUUGAAGUAUAAAACCCAAGCAAAAGAAAGGGGCCAGUGAUAAUAUUGCUGGGGUUAGUAAGCUUUAAGAAAAUGGAUUUUAACCCUAGGUUAGCAGUCCUUUAAUACAGGAUACAUUGUUAAUGGAAGAAGCACAGCGGGGGGAAUGGGGUAACUUGAUAUUCUCAUUAUAACUACUUUUUAAGCUUUUUUUCUUUUAAAAAUAAAAAUGUUUUAAAUAUUUAAGUAGUUUUUAUGUAUUUAAUAAAGUGUGUCUGUAGUCA